rnacentral:ncRNA from 1 species
AGGGCCGGGGCUGCGGGCGGUAAAAGACCAAAGAACCCAGGGAAAAAACCAACCAACCGAACCAAACCUCGCGUAGAUCACUCGGGCGGGUGAAACCGGUCGGUUCGGCUGGCGUGGCAGUGGCCCGAGCGUGCAGGCUCGCCCCGUGACGCCGAGGCAUAUGCCCGGCGCGACCACACGACCCCGUACAUGCAUCGGCCCCCGCCGGGACGGCAAUCCCAGUGCGAGGGCCUGACCAACGAGGAAGAGAAGAGCUUCCCC